UAAAUAUAACGCCCAACUUUUCCCCAGAAUGAAAUAGAAAGAACAUCCUCAGUAGAGGCAUCUGGAAAAUGAUCAAAAAUAAAAAUAACAAAAGAUUUAAGGACCCGCUUAUUAAAAGAAACAUUCCCCAACUGAAGGGUAGCUUUAACUUGGCAAUAAAAGUCUCGUCUUGCAGGGGAGAGGCGGUUACCCAUCUCCUCGCUGCAGAAGAGAAUCCCCACCCGAGCAAAGGAGAAAAGGAAAAGAUAAGAGCCUGCGUCGGCUGCUCUCCUCGGGCAGCUGCACUCACCCAACUACGACGCGGCGAAAGAAAAGGCUGAGGCGGGGUAGUGGAGCUCUGCUGGUGUCGUGAAAUCUGGGGCUUCCCUUGAAGCUGCAGGAUCGGAUGUCCACGACUUGUCAGCAGAUCCAGGAGAGAGGAGUCUUCUUAAAACAGAAGAACAGCUACUCCUGGGAUUGGCGGCGAACGGCGCUUGUAGUCCCACAGCGCAGGGUCACGGAUCCUCACGCGGCAGGAGACGCUCGUCGGAAACCGGGGCAGCGAUCACCGUGUUCGCGGCGCCAAUUGUAUAAAAUUAGGUCCUCCGGGGGUUCCCUGGGUUCCCAGCCAGUCCGGGGAGUGAUCCUCGGCUGACCGGUCCGCAGGGAGGGGUAGAUGUAACCCAGAAAGCUCCACCAAAUAAAGACGAGACGUCUCCCGAGCAGCAGGAUCCGAGAGGUUUAUUGUAGGAGAGAGAAGGAGCAGGAGGAAAAGGCAAGGAACAGCAACCUCUCGAAGGGAAGGCUGACUCUGACUCUUCCAUGCAUUUCCUUAGUCUGGGGCUGACUGGCUCCUGUCAAUCACUGGGAUGAAGGGUGCUACUGAUUUCUGACAAAGGUGGCAUUUCCCCCAGCUCAGAAUUGGCCCCCAGCAAGCCAAAGAAACCUGAAAGAGCAAAAGCAAAGGGAAACAUGUGGGGAGAGUACAGAAGCAAAACCUAGAGAAAAUUAAUCCAGCUCAGAGCCAGGUACAGGAGUUUUAACAAAGGAUGUGACUAAACUAAUAAAUAAUCGUUUCUGCAAGGAUGGGUGAUCCAAGGCACUGGCAGCAUGCAAGUAUCACAUGUGCCGAGUGCCUGGUUUACUGGUGGGUAUCCCAGUUUUUACUGCAUUUAUUCCAUGCCUAGAAGAAUGUCCAAGACUGAAAUCCAGUAGCUGGUUUGGAAGAAACCAUUGCCAUGUAAAUGCCAGAGCAUGAGAUGUUGUGGGAGAUGUUUUGGACCAGGAACAAGCUGUCAUUGCAAUUCUUGCACAUAUCCACCUGUCCAAGAGCAACCUGCCUUUCCUUCUGUGAAGGCUGUAGCUCAUGGAGAGCCUUGAAGCCUUCCCCAUCAUCUUCAGCUCCCAGGCAGAACUGGAUGUGAGGACAUUUUGUAUCUAAAGAAGGGAGGAGGUCCCUGCUGA